CGUGAAAUAAAAAGAAACUACGUAUACAUAUUUACACGCGUGACACCAAGGGGAAUUUGUAGCCAGGGAAUAGUGUACCAAGCUGUGUAGAUCAUACAAAUUUGAAACACUUAGCUUUUGGUUACACUGAUACGACGUUACAGCACGAAUUAUUUCACUGUCGAAAAUGUUCCCUCCACUGAACUGUAGUUCUCGACACAUUCAGUGUCUUGGUUAUAUAGUUUUAUUAAAGUAUCAAAAUUAAGUGAAUUAACAAUUCUCACAAAUCAGGAUUCACGUUCUUGGCUACAGCACCCGGGCUAUACAAAUCAGGGCCUUUUUUAACAAAAUAACUGGGGGGCCAAAGCCCUCCCCCCAGCCUCCAUGGUGGCCAUCCCCACUCAACCAUUUUGGCCCCCAGUCAAAGUCCCUUUUCUCUAAAGGAAGGUUUAAUAACUGAAAUUAGCUUUGUGAAUCUUAUGUCCUCACUUUUACCUUCACGAGUUCAAUGUCUUUUUAAAAAUGCUAAACAUUGUGUUGUAAAUACCUUAGAUUUUAAAAAUUUCCAAGUGGGUAGCAUAUCCCAUACCCUAUGGAUUUGAUUUGUUGGAAGGCCAGGCUAAACAAGUUAGUGAUCGAGCUUUUGCUAAACCUCCCUCGGUUUGCGGGGUCAUUUAAUCACUAAUUUCCCUCAAAGC